AUCUCUUAACAAAUUGAUGUUGAUAUAUAAGGAAGAUAGUAAUUUUAAAAUAUUUCUGUCAUAAUUGCCAGUCUUUCUAAACUUUCUCAUAAGUUCUAAUAGUUUUCUUAAGCUUAUAAUCUUCAAAUAAUGAUAAUUUUGUCCCUUCCUAUCAAAUAUUUAUACCUCCUUCAUUUCUUUUUCUCAUUAUUGCAUUGAGUAGAACUUUCAGGAAAUUUUAAGUAAUGGUAAUAACACUCAAAUUAUUAAUUUUAAUGGAAAUGAUUCUAAUGUUUUACUGCUAAGAAUAACACUAGCUAUUUGUUUGAGAUGAAUAUUCAUGAACAUAAACAGAUUAAUGAAGGUUUUCUUUUUUUUUUUUUUUUUUUUUUUUGCUAUUUCUUUGGGCUCCUCCCGCAGCAUAUGGAGGGUGCUGCCUUAAAAAGACAAAAAAAAAAAAAAAAAAAGGAAUAUCAAAAUUUAAGAGAAGGAGAAGGAAGAUGACACAGCCAGAGAAGUAGGAAUGGAACUUACUCUAUUGGUCAGGAAAACAAGAGGAGGAUAGAAUUUCAGGAAGAGACUGGUCAAUAGCAUCAAAUGGAGCAGAUGUUUCCAGGAAGAUACGGGCUAGAAAGUGUUCUCUGGAUUUGCCAAGCCUCACUGAGGACCUCCCCCGAAGCAACUGCAGCAGAAGGCUGCGGGUGAAACCUGCUGGGCUGUGCAAGAUGCCCAGCGUUAUGCUCCUCAGCUUCUUUCUUUCCAAAGGCACCCUCACCUCCUGGACGGCUGCUGCCUCUGCUGAGUUCCUGGAGCCAGAACUGAAGCCCCGACCUGUGUGACCUGCACACCCUCCCAUCUGCACUGGUUUGCUCUCAGGACGAAAUGCCACACCGCAGGGCAUGUGAUCGCACUCUGGAGCUCACCUCAGUGGACAGGACGAUGCCCCAUAGAAGCGGCGCAGGGGAAGUUCAGGACAGCUUUCAUCUCGUGGAGCAACCUUGACAAAUGGGAAAGGGGAGACGGGAGAGAGGUAGACGGAUGCAUUGUUCUCAGUUUCCUCUCCACAGACUCUUUCAUGAUUGUGAUUCCUACCCAUGACCAUGAAAAAAAUCACUGUGGCUCAAAGAAUCUACCUGCUAAAUGCCUGCGAUUUCUCAUUACAGCUUCUUGGAAGCAGUGCCAACAUGGCAACACAUUCCACUGCAACGGUUGACUUUUUCCUCACUUUCACCUUUUUAAAUUUGCACCUACUCCCCAAAAAAGAAUCAGCACCUUAAUCUUGACCUCAGACUCUAAAAUCUAGAGAAUUUGGGCUAAGACACAGUUGGUCAAUUAAAUAGGAGAAAGACUAUUUCAAUCAACUAAUCAAAAUGAUUUCAUUUGGACUGCUUGAGCCAGUAGAAAAAAUAGACCCAGAAAAGAACUGUCCAAUUGGAAGACGAAAAGAAUAUUAAACAUUCAUAUUAGAGCAUAUUAAUAUGUUGAGAUCACAUAUUUUCCCAGGUCAGGUUAUCCAAAGAACAUAGCAGUCUGGUUUGAUCCAUGAGCGACUAGCAAAAGUACUUGAAACAUCCAGCAAAAAACUAUCCUUCACAUGAUGUCUAUUCACUUUGCUACAACAGAACCAGCCUUUAACCCAAUUCGACUCAACAAACAUCUACUGGCCCCUGACAUAAGGCAGGCAGUGUCCUGGGCUUUGUGGAAGUAGGGCAGUUCCCAGGGGGAGGCUUCUCAGAUGAAUAAGACCCAGAUGUACCCUAAAGAUGAUAUAAUUUCAGAGGCAGAGAUAUGAUAAAGUACAAAGAGCAUUAAUAUAGAAGGUCAUACAAAAUAUUGAAAGUACAGAUUUUAUUAGUAUCAAAGAAAGAAACAUAUAAAACACUAAAGUCGAAAGAGGGAGAGAAGUUCCCAUUGCGGCUCAGCUGGUUAAGAUGAGUAUCCAUGGGGAUAAGGGUU
rnacentral:lncRNA from 1 species